UCCCGUUGGCUCUAAGGGCGGAAAUUUCCGCGGAGCCGGAAGUUUACGCGGGGCCGGAGCCUCUUAACGGCGACCGCCCCAGAAACCUGUACCCGGGAUGGGCGGGGCCGAGGGGCGGGAACUGGCGUGGGUGAGGCCGUCAGGUGCCCCACGCUCAAAGGGCCGCGGUGGAAGGUGUUUGCGUCAACUGGGCGGUGGAGUGCUGUUCACCGUUGUCUGCCUGGUGAAGAUACGCUAGAGCCAAUGACAUUUCUUUUUUAUCUGAAGUCUUUUAAAGAUACCCCCAGAAAUACGGGGUGAAAGAAACUCAGACUUUGCAAAAAUAUUUGGCCAUCUAUGACCCCUUGCUUCUUGCUGUUUGUGGUUGAACUUCGGCAGAUGCUCCUUAAUGCACAAGUGAAUAUUUUAGCCAUACUGUCAUACCAUGGACAUGUGGUUUACACUAAGAAGACUGAGGAACUGCAGUAUUUUUUUUAAACGGAAGGUUCUCGCACAAUGAAAUCUUGAAAUUGGGACUGCAGCUAGCAGGCCAUCUUGAAUUGAAGCCAAAAUGCAGAUUUCUGCACUAGAGCUGAGCUGGUUGGAAGAGGUUUCAAGCUACUUUUAAAGUCCCAAAUGGGGUCAGCAAAUUAUGGCCUGUGGACCUAAUCCAGCCUGUCACUUGUUUUUGUGUGGCCUGAGGAUGGUUUUACAUUUUUAAUGGUUGGAGUUGAGAGAAGGUGAGCAAAGGAAGAUUUCGUGACAAAUGAAAAUGAGAUGAAAUUCAAAGAUCUGGAGGCCAGAAGUCCAGAUCAAGAAGCCAGCAGGG